rnacentral:rRNA from 1 species
GACGAACGCUGGCGGCGUGCUUAACACAUGCAAGUCGAACGGAAAGGCCCCUUUGGGGGUACUCGAGUGGCGAACGGGUGAGUAACACGUGAGUAACCUGCCCUUGACUUCGGGAUAACUUCAGGAAACUGGGGCUAAUACCGGAUAGGAAUCCUUGCUGCAUGGUGGGGGUUGGAAAGCUUCGGCGGUUUUGGAUGGACUCGCGGCUUAUCAGCUUGUUGGGGGGGUAGUGGCUUACCAAGGCUUUGACGGGUAGCCGGCCUGGGGGGGCGACCGGCCACAUUGGGACUGAGAGACGGCCCAGACUCCUACGGGAGGCAGCAGGGGGGAAUAUUGCACAAUGGGCGGAAGCCUGAUGCAGCAACGCCGCGUGCGGGAUGACGGCCUUCGGGUUGUAAACCGCUUUCAGCAGGGGCGAAGCUUGUGGUGACGGUACCUGCAGAAGAAGCACCGGCUAACUACGUG